rfam:Stereum hirsutum FP-91666 SS1 unplaced genomic scaffold STEHIscaffold_2, whole genome shotgun sequence.
CCUCCGAUAGCUCAGUGGUAGAGCGUCGGUUUACUUUAUUCACGUCUCGACAUGUGAACGAUAAUUGCUACCGGUGACGUUGGUUCGAGUCCAACUCGGAGGA